rnacentral:rRNA from 1 species
CGGAUGUUGAGUACAGUGGCAAACGGGUGAGUAACGCGUGGGAAACCUGCCCUUCGGUCGGGGACAACAGUUCUAACGAGGUGCUAGUACCGGAUGUUGUCACGACAUCGCAUGGUGUUGUGAUGAAAGGCGGCCUCUGCUUGCAAGCUGUCACCGAAGGAUGGUCCCGCGUCCCAUUAGCUAGUUGGUGAGGUAAUGGCUUACCAAGGCAGUGAUGGGUAGCCGGCCUUAGCGGGUGACCGGCCACACUGGGACUGAGAUACGGCCCAGACUCCUACGGGAGGCAGCAGUCGAGAGGCUUCCACAAUGGGGGAAACCCUGAUGGAGCGACGCCGCGUGGGUGAUGAAGGUCUUCGGAUCGUAAAGCCCUUUCGACAGGGAAGAACGGCAUGGGGGUUAACAGCUCUCAAGCAAGGACUGUACCUGUAUAAGAAGCUCCGGCUAACUCCGUGCCAGCAGCCGCGGUAAGACGGAGGGAGCAAGCGUUGUUCGGAUUUACUGGGCGUAAAGGGCGUCUAGGCGGACAUACAAGUCAGGUGUGAAAUCCAUCGGCUCAACCGGUGAACCGCAUUUGAUACUG